rnacentral:rRNA from 1 species
UACGGAGGGUGCAAGCGUUAUCCGGAUUUAUUGGGUUUAAAGGGUGCGUAGGCGGCAUUUUAAGUCAGUGGUGAAAUCCUGCAGCUUAACUGUAGAUGUGCCAUUGAAACUGAAGUGCUUGAGUUAUCUUGAGGUAGGCGGAAUGUGUAGUGUAGCGGUGAAAUGCUUAGAUAUUACACAGAACACCCAUUGCGAAGGCAGCUUACUAAGGAUAAACUGACGCUGAGGCACGAAAGCGUGGGGAUCGAACAGG